UACGGGGGGGCAAGCGUUGUUCGGAAUUACUGGGCGUAAAGGGCUCGUAGGUGGCCAACUAAGUCAGACGUGAAAUCCCCUCGGCUUAACCGGGGAACUGCGUCUGAUACUGGGUGGCUUGAGUUCGGGAGAGGGAUGCGGAAUUCCAGGUGUAGCGGUGAAAUGCGUAGAUAUCUGGAGGAACACCGGUGGCGAAGGCGGCAUCCUGGACCGACACUGACGCUGAGGAGCGAAAGCCAGGGGAGCAAACGGG
rnacentral:rRNA from 1 species